rnacentral:rRNA from 1 species
AUACGGAGGAUGCGAGCGUUAUCCGGAUUUAUUGGGUUUAAAGGGUGCGUAGGCGGUUUUUUAAGUCAGCGGUGAAACGCAAGGGCUCCACCCUUGACCUGCCGUUGAAACUGGAGGACUUGAAUGCGGAUGCUGUGGGAGGCAUGUGUGGUGUAGCGGUGAAAUGCAUAGAUAUCACACAGAACACCGAUUGCGAAGGCAUCUCACAAAUCCGUGAUUGACGCUGAGGCACGAAAGUGUGGGGAUCAAACAGGAUUAGAUACCCUGGUAGUCCACACUGUAAACGAUGAUGACUCGCUGUCGGCGAUAUACAGUCGGUGGCCAAGCGAAAGCGAUAAGUCAUCCACCUGGGGAGUACGACCGCAAGGUUGAAACUCAAAUGAAUUGACGGGG